rnacentral:rRNA from 1 species
CCUACGGGGGGCAGCAGUGAGGAAUAUUGGUCAAUGGGAGAGAUCCUGAACCAGCCAAGCCGCGUGAGGGAAGACGGCCCUAUGGGUUGUAAACCUCUUUUGUCGGAGAACAAAACCCGGGACGAGUCCCGGACUGCGUGUAUCCGAAGAAAAAGCAUCGGCUAACUCCGUGCCAGCAGCCGCGGUAAUACGUAGGGAGCGAGCGUUGUCCGGAUUUACUGGGUGUAAAGGGUGCGCAGGCGGCUCUGCAAGUCAGGCGUGAAAGCUAGGGGCGCAACCCCUAAACUGCGCUUGAAACUGGGGAG